GGAUGAACGCUAGCGGCAGGCUUAACACAUGCAAGUCGAGGGGCAUCGGGAGUAGCAAUACUGCCGGCGACCGGCGCAAGGGUGCGUAACGCGUGAGCAACAUGCCCGUAUCAGGGGGAUAAUCCAUGGAAACGUGGUCUAAUACCCCAUAGUAAUUAUGUAAGGCAUCUUAUAUAAUUUAAAGCUUUGGUGGAUACGGAUUGGCUCGCGUGACAUUAGCUGGAUGGUAAGGUAACGGCUUACCAUGGCUACGAUGUCUAGGGGUUCUGAGAGGAAGGUCCCCCCACACUGGAACUGAGACACGGUCCAGACUCCUACGGGAGGCAGCAGUGAGGAAUAUUGGACAAUGGAUGGAAAUCUGAUCCAGCCAUGCCGCGUGCAGGAAGAACCGGCCCUAUGGGUUGUAAACUGCUUUUGUAUGGGAGCAAUAAGGGCUACGUGUAGUCCGAUGAGAGUACCAUACGAAUAAGCACCGGCUAACUCCGUGCCAGCAGCUGC
rnacentral:rRNA from 1 species